GGGGGGUAACGGCCCACCAAGGCAACGACGGGUAGCUGGUCUGAGAGGACGAUCAGCCACACUGGGACUGAGACACGGCCCAGACUCCUACGGGAGGCAGCAGUGGGGAAUCUUGCGCAAUGGGCGAAAGCCUGACGCAGCAACGCCGCGUGAGGGAUGAAUGCCUUCGGGUUGUAAACCUCUUUCAAGCAGGGAAGAUAGUGACGGUACCUGCAGAAGAAGCUCCGGCCAACUACGUGCCAGCAGCCGCGGUAAUACGUAGGGAGCGAGCGUUGUCCGGAUUUAUUGGGCGUAAAGAGCUCGUAGGCGGCUUGGUAAGUCGGAUGUGAAACCUCCAGGCUCAACCUGGAGACGCCAUCCGAUACUGCUAUGGCUAGAGUCCGGUAGGGGCCCACGGAAUUCCUGGUGUAGCGGUGAAAUGCGCAGAUAUCAGGAGGAACACCGGUGGCGAAGGCGGUGGGCUGGGCCGGCACUGACGCUGAGGAGCGAAAGCGUGGGGAGCGAACAGGAUUAGAUACCCUGGUAGUCCACGCCGUAAACGUUGGGCACUAGGUGUGGGACCUUUUCAACGGGUUCCGUGCCGUAGCUAGCGCAUUAAGUG
rnacentral:rRNA from 1 species